rnacentral:rRNA from 1 species
GACAAACGCUGGCGGCGUGCCUAACACAUGCAAGUCGAACGGAGAAUUUAGUUUACUAGAUUCUUAGUGGCGGACGGGUGAGUAACGCGUGAGCAAUCUGCCUUUCAGAGGGGGAUAACGAUUGGAAACGAUCGCUAAUACCGCAUGAAGUAUCGAGUGGGCAUCCACGUGAUACCAAAGGAGCAAUCCGCUGAAAGAUGAGCUCGCGCCUGAUUAGCUAGUUGGUAAGGUAACGGCUUACCAAGGCAACGAUCAGUAGCCGGACUGAGAGGUCGAACGGCCACAUUGGGACUGAGAUACGGCCCAGACUCCUACGGGAGGCAGCAGUGGGGAAUAUUGGGCAAUGGGGGAAACCCUGACCCAGCAACGCCGCGUGAAGGAAGAAGGCUUUCGGGUUGUAAACUUCUUUGACGAGGGAAGAAUAAUGACGGUACCUCGAAAACAAGCCACGGCUAACUACGUGCCAGCCGCCGCGGUAAAAC